GUGGGGAAUCUUGCGCAAUGGGGGCAACCCUGACGCAGCGACGCCGCGUGCGGGACGAAGGCCUUCGGGUCGUAAACCGCUUUCAGCAGGGACGAGGCCGAAAGGUGACGGUACCUGCAGAAGAAGCCCCGGCUAACUACGUGCCAGCAGCCGCGGUAAUACGUAGGGGGCGAGCGUUAUCCGGAUUCAUUGGGCGUAAAGCGCUCGUAGGCUGCCCGCUAGGUCCGGGGUCAAAUCCGGGGGCUCAACCCCCGCACGCCCCGGAUACCGGCGGGCUUGAGUCGGGUAGGGGAAGGCGGAAUUCCAGGUGUAGCGGUGGAAUGCGCAGAUAUCUGGAAGAACACCGGUGGCGAAGGCGGCCUUCUGGGCCUCGACUGACGCUGAGGAGCGAAAGCUGGGGGAGCGAACAGGA
rnacentral:rRNA from 1 species